GGGGUUAUAAAGCUCAGUGGUAGGAAACAUUCGACUGCAGAUCGAGAGAUCCCCGGUUCAAACCCGGGUGUCCUCU